rnacentral:rRNA from 1 species
UACGAAGGGUGCAAACGUUGCUCGGAAUCAUUGGGCGUAAAGCGCACGUAGGCGGCUUCGCAAGUCGGAUGUGAAAUCCCUCGGCUCAACCGAGGACGUGCAUACGAAACUGCGGAGCUUGAGUGCUGAAGAGGAUCGCGGAAUUCCCGGUGUAGAGGUGAAUUCGUAGAUAUCGGGAGGAACACCAGUGGCGAAGGCGGACGAUCUGGGCAGACACUGACGCUGAGGUGCGAAAGCGUGGGAGCAAC